rnacentral:rRNA from 1 species
UCGAGAAUAGUCUACAAUGGUCGAAAGACUGAUAGUGCGACGCCGCGUGAACGAAGAAGCCCUUCGGGGUGUAAAGUUCUUUUAUAUGUGAGCAAUGCCGGAUAGGUGAAUAGUCUGUUCGGAGCGAUAUUAGCAUAUGAAUAAGCAACGGCUAACUCCGUGCCAGCAGCCGCGGUAACACGGGGGUUGCAAGCGUUGUCCGGAAUUACUAGGCGUAAAGGGCAGGUAGGCGGAUCUAUAAGUUUAAUGUUAAAGGCGACGGCUUACCCGUCGUAAGGCGUUAGAUACUGUAGAUCUGGAAUACGGUUGGGGAAGACAGAAUUCCUGGUGUAGCGGUGGAAUGCGCAGAUAUCAGGAGGAAUACCGAAGGCGAAGGCAGUCUUCUAAGCCGUUAUUGACG